CUGCGGAGGAGAGAAGCAGGCCAAUAGACCCCCAGGGUUUCUCUGAUUGCUUUGAUGCGAGGCCGACUUCCCCCUCCCAUCCCCCCGGGCUUCUCGGCAGGAGGCCUGCGGGCUCUCCCCCAACCUCGCGCCGAAUGGCGCCCGGGCCUGGAAGCCAAAGGAGCCCAAACCCCGCCGCGCCCAGAGGCAGGGCUGCUCCAGCAAGGCAGCAAAAUACAAUAAAGAAAGACUCUUCUCUGGGAAGUCUGGGAAGGACUUCCAACCCUUUAGCCAGUUUUCCAGAGGCUACAUGAAGUGAGAUACUGCAACAGAUGGAAAGCAGAAGUAGAUAUGAGAAUCCAGCUGUCUUCCAUUGACACAGACAUUAAGGAGAUUUGCAAAAUGUUAAACAAUGUCACUCUUCUCACUAAUUUUUUUUUAACAUGGGUAAAUCUAUUUUUCCAUAAAAAUUAAGUUAUUUAUGUUAACAUACAAUGAAUUCGUUAUUUUAAAAUAAAUAUUUUUAAAAUAUCUCGAUUUACCUUCUUAUAUGGUAAAUAUGGUUGAUAUAAUCCACAUUAAAAAAUCUUGAUCCACCAGAGGGCAGACAGCAGAAGCAAGAAGAACUACAAUCCUGCAGCCUGUAGAACAAAAACCACAUUCACAGAAAGAUAGACAAAAUGAAAAAGCAGAGGACUAUGUACCAGAUGAAGGAACAAGAUAAAACCCCAGAAAAACAACUUAAUGAAGUGGAGAUAGGCAACCUUUCAGAAAAAGAAUUCAGAAUAAUGAUAGUGAGGAUGAUCCAGGACCUCAGAAAAAGAAUGGAGGCAACGAUCGAGAAGAUGCAAGAAAUGUUUAACAAAGACCCAGAAGAAUUAAAGAACAAACAACAAGAAGAAUUAAAGAACAAGCAAACAGAGAUGAACAAUAUAAUAACUGAAAUAAAAAAAUACACUAGAAGGAACCAGUAAUCAGAGAAGAUAAAGAAAUAAAAGGAAUACAAAUUGGAAAAGAAGAAGUAAAACUGUCACUGUUUGCAGAUGACAUGAUACUAUACAUAGAGAAUCCUAAAGAUGCCACCAGAAAACUAUUAGAGCUAAUCAAUGAAUUAGGUAAAGUUGCAGGAUACAAAAUUAAUGCACAGAAAUCUCUUGCAUUCCAAUACACUAAUGAUGAAAAAUCUGAAAGAGAGAUUAGGGAAACACUCUCAUUUGCCAUUGCAACAAAAAGAAUAAAAUACCUAGGAAUAAACCUACCUAGGGAGACAAUAGACCUGUAUGCAGAAAACUAUAAGACACUGAUGAAAGAAAUUAAAGAUGAUACCAACAGAUGGUUGAGAUAUACCAUGUUCUUGGAUUGGAAGAAUCAAUAUUGUGAAAAUGACUAUACUACCCAAAGCAAUCUGCACAUUCAAUGCAAUCCCUAUCAAAUUACCAAUGGUGUUUUUUACAGAGCUAGAGCAAAAAAUCUUAAAAUUUGUAUGGAGACACAAAAGAUCCUGAAUAGCCAAAGCCGUCUUGAGGGAAAAAAAUGGAGCUGGAGAAAUCAAACUCCCUGACUUCAGAGGAUAGUACAAAGCUACAGUCAUCAAGACGGUAUGGUACUGGCACAAAAACAGAAAUAUAGGUCAAUGGAACAGGGUAGAAAGCCCAGAGAUAAACCCACGCACCUAUGGUCAACUAAUCUAUGACAAAGGAGGCAAGGAUAUACAGUGGAGAAAAGACAGUCUCUUCAAUAAGUGGUGCUGGGAAAACUGGAAAGCUACAUGUAAAAGAAUGAGAUGAGAACACUCCCUAACACCAUACAUAAGAAUAAACUCAAAAUGGAUUAGAGACCUAAAUGUAAAACCGGGCACUAUAAAACUCUUAGAGGAAAACAUAGGAAGAACACUCUUUGACAUAAAUCACAGCAAGAUCUUUUUUGGUCCACCUCCUAGAGUAAUGGAAAUAAAAACAAAAAUAGGGCUUCCCUUGUGGCGCAGUGGUUGAGGGUCCGCCUGCCGACGCAGGGGACACAGGUUCGUGCCCCAGUCAGGGAAGAUCCCACAUGCCACAGAGCGGCUAGGCCCGUGAGCCAUGGCUGCUGAGCCUGCGCGUCCGGAGCCUGUGUUCUACAAUGGGAGAGGCCACAACAGUGAGAGGCCCGUGUACCACAAAAAAAAAAAAAAAAAAAAGAAACAAAAAACACAAAUGGGACCUAAUGAAACUUAAAAGCUUUUGCACAGCAAAGGAAACUAUAAACAAGACGAAAAGGCAACCCUCAGAAUGGGAGAAAAUAUUUGCAAAUGAAUCAUCAGACAAAGGAUUAAUCUCCAAAAUAUAUAAACAGCUCAUACCACUCCGUAUUAAGAAAACAAACAACCCAAUCAAAAAAUGGGCAGAAGACCUAAAUAGACAUUUCUCCAAAGAAGACAUACAGAUGGCCAAGAAGCACAUGAAAAGCUGCUCAACAUCACUAAUUAUUAGAGAAAUGCAAAUCAAAACUACAGUGAGGUAUCACCUCACACCAGUUAGAAUGGGCAUCAUCAGAAAAUCGACACACAACAAAUGCUGGAGAGGGUGUGGAGAAAAGGAACCCUCUUGCACUGUUGGUGGUAAUGUAAAUUGAUACAGCCACUAUGGAAAACAGUAUGGAGGUUCCUUAAAGAACUAAAACUAGAAUUACCAUGUGACCCAGCAAUUCCUCUACUGGGCAUAUACCCAGAGAAAACCAUAAUUCAGAAAGACACAUGCACCCCCGUGUUCAUUGCAGCACUAUUUACAAUAGCCAGGUCAUGGAAGCAACCUAAAUUCCCAUCGACAGACAAAUGGAUAAAGAAGAUGUGGUACAUAUGUACAAUGGAAUAUUACUCUGCCAUAAAUAGGAACGAAAUUGGUUCAUUUGUAGAGACGUGGAUGCAUCUAGAGACUAUCAUACAGAGUGAAGUUAGUCAGAAAGAGAAAAACAAAUAUCGUAUAUUAACGCAUAUAUGUGGAACCUAGAAAAUGGUACAGAUGAACCGGUUUGCAGAGCAGAAAUUGAGACACAGAAGUAGAGAAA